rnacentral:rRNA from 1 species
CAUAACCUGGUUGAUCCUGCCAGUAGUCAUAUGCUUGUCUCAAAGAUUAAGCCAUGCAUGUCUAAGUAUAAGCUUUUAUACGGUGAAACUGCGAAUGGCUCAUUAAAACAGUUAUAGUUUAUUUGAUGGUCACUCACUACUUGGAUAACCGUGGUAAUUCUAGAGCUAAUACAUGCGUCAAGACCCGACUUUUUG